rnacentral:rRNA from 1 species
GAUGAACGCUGGCGGCGUGCUUAAUACAUGCAAGUCGAGCGAACGGACGAGAAGCUUGCUUCUCUGAUGUUAGCGGCGGACGGGUGAGUAACACGUGGAUAACCUACCUAUAAGACUGGGAUAACUUCGGGAAACCGGAGCUAAUACCGGAUAAUAUUUUGAACCGCAUGGUUCAAAAGUGAAAGACGGUCUUGCUGUCACUUAUAGAUGGAUCCGCGCUGCAUUAGCUAGUUGGUAAGGUAACGGCUUACCAAGGCAACGAUGCACAGCCGACCUGAGAGAGUGAUCGGCCACACGGGAACUGAGACACGGUCCAGACUCCUACGGGAGGCAGCAGUAGGGAAUCUUCCGCAAUGGGCGAAAGCCUGACGGAGCAACGCCGCGUGAGUGAUGAAGGUCUUCGGAUCGUAAAACUCUGUUAUUAGGGAUGAACAUAUGUGUAAGUAAAUGUGCACAUCUUGACGGUACCUAAUCAGAAAGCCACGGCUAACUACGUG